CCUACGGGAGGCAGCAGUGGGGAAUAUUGCACAAUGGGGGAAACCCUGAUGCAGCGACGCCGCGUGAGUGAAGAAGUAUUUCGGUAUGUAAAGCUCUAUCAGCAGGGAAGAAAAUGACGGUACCUGACUAAGAAGCCUCGGCUAACUACGUGCCAGCAGCCGCGGUAAUACGUAGGGGGCAAGCGUUAUCCGGAUUUACUGGGGGUAAAGGGAGCGUAGACGGCGGAACAAGUCAGAAGUGAAAACCCGGGACUCAACCCUGGGAGUGCUUUUGAAACUGUUUGGCUGGAGUGCAGGAGAGGUAGGCGGAAUUCCUAGUGUAGCGGUGAAAUGCGUAGAUAUUAGGAGGAACACCAGUGGCGAAGGCGGCUUACUGGACUGUAACUGACGUUGAGGCUCGAAAGCGUGGGGAGCAAACAGGAUUAGAUACCCUGGUAGUC
rnacentral:rRNA from 1 species